GCUGGGAUAGCUCAGUUGAUAAGACCAUGAGACUCCUAAUCUCAGGGUUGUGGGUUUGAGCCCCAGGUUGCACUGCA